rnacentral:lncRNA from 1 species
CGUCCAAAUCAGCAAAUAUCUCCUUCUUACCGCACAUAUGAUUACUACAUCCGGAGUCAAUGUACCAGACAUCAUUGUUAGUUUCUUCACUAAUAGCAGCCAUAGAUGCGGAGUAAAAAAUGGUUUCACUUUUAUCCCUUUCAUCCUCAGCUACUCGAGCAUGAACUUGUUUAUUUUCAGUUCUUUUACUCCAACAAUCUUUNNN